AUUAGCCUAAAAAGUAAUUAGAUAAAAUGCGAAUUAGGUUCAAUAAAAAUAUGGCUAAAAACAAAUUAGGGGCGGAGAAUUAAUCGAUGACACAGAAAUUAGGUUCAAUAUAGAUUUAGCUAAACACAAAUUAGGGUCUGAUACAUAUUAGCCUAAAAAGUAAUUAGGUUAAACACGAAUUAGAUUUAAUAAAAAAUUGGCUAAACUCGAGUUAAGGUCUGAUACUCACCAAGCCAGAAAGGAAUUAGGUUAAAUGCGAAUUAGGUUCAAUAAAAAUUAGGCUAAACACGAAUUAGGUCCUGAUACGUAUUAGACCAAAAAGGAAUCAGGUUUAUUAUAGAUUGGGCUAAACAGGAAUUAGGUUAAAUAUUAAUUCGGCCAAAUAAUUAUGGCCUGAUAAAUGUUAGGUCCCAAAGGAAUAAGGUUAAAUAAAAGUUUAGUUCAAUAUACUUUAG